GUACACGCCUACACAACACUGGGUGACAGCUAUGCUCCAGUUAGAACAGAAUCUGACCACAGAACAUUUGUAGAAGUGAGGGAGUGGAAUUCGUGCCAGAAGAACGCUCCUGAAGCCCCGACCUCCGCACAGAACCUACCAGAACCUACCACCGCCGGGCGCCGCGCCCCACCUCCAAGGCGGGGCUGGGUCCGCAGCAGACACGCCCACUGUCUCGGCUCCGCGACAGUAAAGGUGGUCUGCUGACGUCACAGGUUGGACAGCAGGGCGCAGGUGGUCGCUCAGCGCCGCGAUGGAAGUACGCAGGCUGCAGACUCCUCUCGCCUCCACCCUAACCCCGCUGCUGACCCGCAGGCCCGGGCGCCGAGCGUCUAGCGCCGAGCCCGGGCGCAGGAAACGGGCAGCACCGCGCCGGCUGUCCGCAGCGACCGGGACCGGCGGGAAGCAAGCACGGGACGCGACAGGCCACGAGCUCCACGCGCCGCAGUCGCUUCACGCCUCUGCGAGCUCCCAAGGCAGGGCGGUGACUGCCCCCACGGUGUCGGGCACUUACCGGACGCCCAACAGACACUGCCGACCGCACGAGGGAGUGGACGGCUGUCGGAACAGGGGACGUUACAUCCGAUCUGGAAGAUUCCCUCCCACUUGUCCAACAACUUCUGCCAA